GGACGAACGCUGGCGGCGUGCUUAACACAUGCAAGUCGAGCGGUAAGGCCCUUUCGGGGGUACACGAGCGGCGAACGGGUGAGUAACACGUGGGUGACCUGCCCUCAGCUCUGGGAUAAGCCUGGGGAAAACCGGUCUAAUACCGGAUAUGACUCCAUGACGCAUGUUGUGGGGUGGAAAGCCUUGUGCGGCUGAGGAGUGGGCCCGCGGCCUAUCAGCUUGUUGGUGGGGUNAUGGCCUACCAAGGCGACGACGGUAGCCGGCCUGAGAGGCGACCGGCCACACUGGGACUGAGACACGGCCCAGACUCCUACGGGAGGCAGCAGUGGGGAAUCUUGCGCAAUGGGCGAAAGCCUGACGCAGCGACGCCGCGU
rnacentral:rRNA from 1 species